AUGUGGCAGGGACUACAGACAAUCACGGACUACAAAAGGAAAUCCAGCCACGUUGCCGAGACGCACGUCUUGCUUCCGGACAAGCUAAACACUUUCUUUGCACGCUUUGAGGAUAACACAGUGCCACCGACACGGCCCGCUAUCAAGUACUGUGGGCUCUCCUUCUCCGUGGACGACGUGAGUAAAACGUUUAAAUGUGUUAACCCUCGCAAGGCUGCCGGUCCAGACGGCAUCCCUAGCUGCAUCCUCAGAGCAUCCUCAGACCAGCUGGCUGGUGUGUUUACAGGCAUAUUCAAUCUCUCCCUAUCCCAGUCUGCUGUCCCCAAGAUGGCAGAGGUAACUGAACGUAAUGACUAUCACCCCAUAGCACUCACCUCUGUCAUCAUGAAGUGCUUUGAGAGACUAGUUAAGGAUCAUAUCACCUCUAUCUUACCUGCCACCCUAGACCCACUUCAAUUUGCUUACCGCCACAAUAGAUCCACAGACGAUGCAAUUGCCAUCACUCUGCACACUACCCUAUCCUAUCUGGACAAGAGGAAUAUCUAUGUAAGAAUGCUGUUCAUUAACUGUAACUCAGCAUUCAACACCAUAGUACCCUCCAAGCUCAUCAUUAAGCUUGAGGCCCUGGGUCUGAACCCUGCCCUGUGCAACUGUGUCCUGGACUUCCUGACGGGCCGGCCCCAGGUGGUGAAGUUAGGAAAUAUCACCUCCCCUCCGCUGAUCCUUAACACAGGGGCCCCACAAGGGUGCUUGCUCAGCCCCCUCCUGUACUCCCUGUUCACCCAUGAAUGCAUGGCCAAGCACGCCUCCAACUCAAUCAUGAAGUUUGCAGAAGACACAACAGCAGUAGGCUUGAUUACCAACAACGACAAGACAGCCUAUAGGGAGGAGGUGAGGACACUCGGAGUGUGGUGUCAGGAAAACAACCUCUCACUCAACAUCAACAAAACAAAGGAGAUGAUCGUGGACUUCAGGAAACAGCAAAGGGAGCACCCCCCCUAUCCACAUCGACGGGACCUCUUUCUAUUCUGGUUAGAGCCAGUUUGCUCUGUUCUGUGA
rnacentral:lncRNA from 8 species